CUGGGGUUCGCCAUCUGUAUCAUUUUCCCAUUAUGAAAAUUUGUCUGCUUCUGCUGGGGGAGGCUAGUCGCCCAACCUUUUCCCAUUCAUUUUGGCGAGAGAUCUGUUUUUUGGUCUGUUCUUGCGUAGCUGCCAACUGUACGCUGGGGUCUCUGUUUUUGCAAUUUCGACCAGCUAAUGGAAUCGUCUAAUCUAUGGGCUAAAAUUACUUGUUGUGAAUGGCUCUGGCAAAUGCUGAAACAAGCUUUGCGAUUCCAUGCACAUCUGCUUCUUUUCGCAUCAUUUGACAGUAUGAGUAAGUACUGAACCUCCUACUUCAAAUCGAAGUAGUUGGCUGGUCGGAUAGACUUGGGACGGUAGGUCAACUCUACCCUGGGUCUGGUUUCCUUGAUCUUUGUUCAGGAUAUUGAGUGGGGGGCUGGUUUCCUUCCUUAAGUGGGUUUACGUGCUUUUUUGGCGAUGAAAGUUUGGGGGUUAGAUGGCUUACUUUCAAGA